UUUUUUUGUGCUUUUUGGUCCAUCUAUUAAUAAAAAUGAACCCCGUUACAGAGUCACCAUCAUGUCUCUUCUCACCACCCUCUGAGUCUGCAUUAGCCAGUCAACUACCCCUUUCAGCGUCAUGUGACCAGCGCGCCCCAUUCAGCUUGGCUGGUGUCGUUUCACAUGACCCAGGCAUGGCCAGUCGCCAGGUUGCACCGCCCUUUGGUUCCCGAGCAUGCUGUUUUCUCUCAGCCUUCUCUCCAACCUUAACCAAAAUCGGCAGCAGCCACCUCGACCGCCCACACAUUCCUGGCCAAUCAGCUCAGCUGUUUAUUUACCAAAUGUCUUCACAACAACUACAGCAACAGCCUUCGGCUAACCAAAAAGCAGGAAAAAUCCACAACACCCCCUUCGCCAACCAACUAAAUCCAACGCAACAUCUGGCAAAACCUUUUCAGCAAAUUCUUCCUGGCCGUCAGUCCGGCAGCCUCACCUCACCAUUUCUAGCUUGUUGAAACCCAAAACUAAUCUCCUAGGAGGAGAAGCUUCUCUCGCAGCCGGAGCAGGUCCCUUUCUCGAGACCGGAGGAGAGAGAGAUCACUGUCUCGGGAGAGAAAUCACAAGCCGUCCCGCUCCUUCUCGAGGUCUCGUAGCCGAUCUAGGUCAAAUGAAAGAAAAUGAGAAGAUGGAGUUGCAGACGGAGUGUAGUGUGUACAGGAAAUGGAUCAUUUGACAGGAGUGUACAGACAAGUCACGUUGUGUUUGAGUCUUCAGAAGCCUUGGUGCGUUUUAAAGAUAUUUAGCUGUUGGAAUUUUGUCUCCACACAAAAUUGAAUUUGCUUUGAACUUCAGUUAGUCUUGAAUAAGACUGAUAAUAAACCUCUGAGUCUCGCCCAGCUAAAGUGUGAUGUUUACUGUUGAGGAAACAAGUGGCAACGAUGGCUCUAUUGUUUUGUCUGUGGCUGGGAAAAGGCAGCUGUAGUGAAAUGAGCAGUCUGAGAGCAGCUGAGAACAAGCCACCCGAUAAAAGUAAGUAGCUGCACCAUUAAAGUAGGUUAGAGGUUUUAAAUAAAUCCAACCUCGUCUUCAACCAUGUGCAGAAGUUACUCUGUUCAUUUUGAAUUGGAUAGUUUUAAGGAGUUUUUUUUUUUUUAACUUUGGCUUUAGGUCAUAAAGUCUUUGUUAUUGAUGUAUACAAAAAAGUAUUUUGUAACACAUACUUGGAAAAUGUAGGCGAUCCAAGAUACCAAUGUUCUGCCAGUUUUAAUAGGGUACAUUGUAGAGCUGAAUUUAGGGUUACUGUGCAAGAUUUGUUUUCAUGCUGUCAUUUGUAAUGUAAUGUUUUGUGGACGUCGUCGGGAUUAAAGUUUUGGUUUAUAAAUUGUUUAA